UGAAGUGAUUUUACCUUUAUUUCCUUCACUUUAAGCCAAUCAUGAAAUUUCACAGUGAUUUCUGGGGUGGGGGCAGAAGGGAGGCGGUGCCAAGAAUCACUGGGGCUGUGGCCCAGCCGGCCCGUGGAGGUGCUGGUAGGGGUGGGCCCUCACCGGGGCAGCUGGAGGAGCACGGACUGCCCCGCCGGUAGGUAGGUGAUGUUCCGAGAGCGUGACAACUGGUACGCGAUGUCCUCCGCGGCUUCCGGCUUGCGCAGCUCGAUCAGGCUGUCCCCUGCGGUGGCCAGUGAGUUGGCAAUCAGCUCGGCUGCCUUGGAGUCGCCCUCAGCAGAGAUGAUAGCCGCCAUGGGGGAAUUCAUGUGGAGGUCAGAGUGGAAGCAGGUGUGAGAGGGUCCAGCAGAAGAAAACAUGGCUGCCAAAGUGUUUGAGUCCAUUGGCAAGUUUGGCCUGGCCUUAGCUGUUGCAGGAGGCGUGGUGAACUCGGCCUUAUAUAAUGUGGAUGCUGGGCACAGAGCUGUCAUCUUUGUCCAAUUCUGUGGAGUACAGGACAUUGUGGUAGGGGAAGGGACUCACUUUCUCAUCCCAUGGGUACAGAAACCAAUUAUCUUUGACUGCCGUUCUCGGCCACGUAAUGUGCCAGUCAUCGCUGGUAGCAAAGAUUUACAGAAUGUCAACAUCACACUGCGCAUCCUCUUCCGGCCCGUUGCUAGCCAGCUGCCUCGCGUCUUCACCAGCAUCGGAGAGGACUAUGAUGAGCGCGUGCUGCCGUCCAUCACGACCGAGAUCCUCAAGUCAGUGGUGGCUCGCUUUGAUGCUGGAGAACCAAUCACCCAGGGAGAACUGGUCUCAAGGCAGGUGAGCGACGACCUUACGGAGCGAGGAGCCACCUUUGGGCUCAUCCUGGACGAUGUGUCCUUGACACAUCUGACCUUCGGGAAGGAGUUCACAGAAGCGGUGGAAGCCAAACAGGUGGCUCAGCAGGAAGCAGAGGGGGCCAGAUUUGUGGUGGAAAAGGCUGAGCAGAAACAUUUCUUAAAUAUAUGAAUGUAAAACAUAAAU